rnacentral:rRNA from 1 species
UAGCGGCGAGCGAAGCGGCAACAGCCCAGAUUUGAAAUCCGGUGCCCUUUGGGCGCCCGAGUUGUAAUCUGCAGAUGGGUUUUCCGGUGAGGCGCGCGUCCAAGUUCCCUGGAAUGGGACGCCGUAGAGGGUGAGAGCCCCGUACUGGCGCCGCGCCGAGCCUCUGUGAGGCCCAUUCGACGAGUCGAGUAGUUUGGGAAUGCUGCUCUAAUUGCGAGGUAAAUCUCUCGUAAGGCUAAAUACCGGCCAGAGACCGAUAGCGCACAAGUAGCGUGAGCGAAAGAUGAAAAGAGCCUUGGAUAAGGGCGUCAAAAAGCAUGUGAAAUCGUUAUGGGGGAAGCGCUCGUCGCCAGACGUGGCGGCGGCUGGUUAGCCGGCGUUCUCGCCGGCGCACUCGGACCGCCGCCAGGCCAGCAACAGCUCGGGCUGGGGCCCACUGCCGGAGGGAACGUAGCUCCCCUUGUGGGAGUGUUAUAGCCCUUCGGCGACGCCCUGGACCGGGCUGAGGACCGCGCCUUGCGCACGGAUGCUGGCGUAAUGGCGCCUAGCGACCCGUCUUGAAACACGGACCAAGGAGUUGACCUAGCGCGCGAGUGUACGGGUGUAAAGCCCUUGCGCGUAGUGAAAGCAAACGCUGGUGGGAGCCUUCGGGCGCACCAUCGACCGAUCCUGAUGCUCCGCGGAUGGAUUUGAGUAGGAGCGCGCUGGGUCUGACCCGAAAGAAGGUGAACUAUGCAUGGGUAGGGUGAAGCCAGAGGAAACUCUGGUGGAGGCUCGCAGCGGUUCUGACGUGCAAAUCGA